rnacentral:rRNA from 1 species
CCUACGGGUGACAGCAGUGGGGAAUAUUGGGCAAUGGGCGCAAGCCUGACCCAGCAACGCCGCGUGAAGGAAGAAGGCUUUCGGGUUGUAAAAUUCUUUUGUCAGGGAAGAGUAGAAGACGGUACCUGACGAAUAAGCUACGGCUAACUACGUGCCAGCAGCCGCGGUAAUACGUAGGUGGCAAGCGUUUUCCGGAUUUACUGGGUGUAAAGGGCGUGUAGCCGGGUUGACAAGUCAGAUGUGAAAUCCUGCGGCUUAACCGCAGAACUGCAUUUGAAACUGUUGAUCUUGAGUACUGGAGAGGCAGAUGGAAUUCCUAGUGUAGCGGUGAAAUGCGUAGAUAUUAGGAGGAACACCAGUGGCGAAGGCGGUCUGCUGGACAGCAACUGACGGUGAGGCGCGAAAGCGUGGGGAGCAAACAGGAUUAGAUACCCCUGUAGUC